GCCGAGGUGGCGAAAUGGUAUACGCACAACACUUAAAAUGUUGCGUCGCAAGACAUGCGGGUUCGAUCCCCGCCCUCGGCA
rnacentral:tRNA from 1 species